GGGGGAGAAUGGGCAUCCCACCCCAGCACUUUCUAGGAAGAAGGGCAGCAUUUUGAAGGGCUGGAAGUAGAGGAAGGAGGUUGCGGGUAGAAGACUCCAUACUUUCUGUGACGCCUAUUCCUUAGGAAUCAAGGCUAUCUGUAAUCACAGGGCUAUUUGAAAAAGAGAAGAAAAGGUGUCUUGAAAUUCAACCAACAUGUUUCAAUUAUUUGCUCCUAAGAACAACAGAAGUUUCAACAUUCUGCCAACAGAGUAACUCCUGGAAGAUUGGCACAGAAGAAGGCACAAGGUAAAUACCCAUCUCUGUACACCCCGUGCUACCAUGUCAUGUGCUGCUCCAGGCAACUCCAAUGGAUUGGCCACCCUGGCCAGUGAUAACACAUAAAAAUUCCACUCAGUAUUGGGACCAAUAGAUAAUGAACACAGUCAGUGGAAUUCCUUCGCAGGCUUCUUCAAGAUAUUCUGCAAGACUGAUUUCCCUUCUUCUUGCCAAGAUUUUUUCCUCCUUCUUCUAGGAAGUCAGUGAUAAAAAUAUUUAAGCAGCUUUGUCUGCCUUAGAC
ensembl:lncRNA STARD13-AS STARD13 antisense RNA